rnacentral:RNase_P_RNA from 1 species
GUGAGCCGGUGGGCGGCCGCCGGGCCGCGAGGCCUGAGGAAACUCCAUCCACCGGGCAGGACUGCGACGUCGCGAGGCGUAGGGCGAGAGCCCUGGCACCGGACAGAGACGAGACCUCCGCCCGCACUGCGAUGACGCGCCGGAAGCGUCGAGGACGCGGGCGGAUCGGGUGAGACGACCGACCCAGCAGGGUGAAAGGGCGAAUAGGCGUCCGUGACCACCUGCCGGAGACGCGGGUAGCCCGUUCAGCCGAAUGCCGCCUAGAACAGAAGAUGGGUUACGGCCGGCACAC